rnacentral:rRNA from 1 species
UACGGGGGGGGCAAGCGUUGUUCGGAAUUACUGGGCGUAAAGGGCUCGUAGGCGGCCAACUAAGUCAGACGUGAAAUCCCUCGGCUUAACCGGGGAACUGCGUCUGAUACUGGAUGGCUUGAGUUCGGGAGAGGGAUGCGGAAUUCCAGGUGUAGCGGUGAAAUGCUUAGAUAUGACAGAGAACACCAAGUGCGAAGGCAGCUUGCUACAGGGAUAUUGACACUGAGGCACGAAAGCGUGGGGAUCAAACAGG